AAAAGGACUUUGGCCAAGGAAAAUUUAGGUUCUGGCAUGGAGGAAGAAGGAAGGGAAAUGGAAUACUGGGUGGGAAUGGCAGAUUCCCCGAAUUCAUGGAGUUUUGGAACCCAAGUGGGCCCGGAACCCAUUCGCCGAGGGCCAGUUUUCCUUGGGUGCCAGGC
rnacentral:rRNA from 1 species